GACAGAGGAUGCAAGCGUUAUCCGGAAUGAUUGGGCGUAAAGCGUCUGUAGGUGGCUUUUUAAGUCCGCCGUCAAGUCCCAGGGCUCAACCCUGGACAGGCGGUGGAAACUACCAAGCUGGAGUACGGUAGGGGCAGAGGGAAUUUCCGGUGGAGCGGUGAAAUGCGUAGAUAUGCGGAGGAACACCGAUGGCGAAGGCAAUCCCCUGGACCUGUACUGACGCUCAUGCACGAAAGCGUGGGGAGCAAACAGG
rnacentral:rRNA from 1 species